rnacentral:lncRNA from 1 species
CAACCGGCGGGUGUUGCUGUGGCUCGUGGGGCUGCAGAAUGUCUUUUCCCACCAGCUGCCGCGCAUGCCUAAGGAGUAUAUCGCCCGCCUCGUCUUUGACCCGUGCGUCCCCCAGAGAGCCCCUCCCCCAGGGCAGCACACCCAGUUCCCUUCCUCCUCGGCCUCUUCACUCCUCAAAAUUGGGGAUCCCCUGCUCCCCACUUCUGAGGUUCAUCCUUUGAGCAUUCUUACUUCUCACUGCCCAACCCUGACUACAGCUCAGACUUCCAGGGCUCUGGGGACCUGAAGGGGACAGUCAGGGGCUAUGACAUGCCCCCCUCUCUCUUAGGAAGCACAAGACUCUGGCCUUGAUCAAGGAUGGGCGGGUCAUCGGUGGCAUCUGCUUCCGCAUGUUUCCCACCCAGGGCUUCACGGAGAUUGUCUUCUGUGCUGUCACCUCGAAUGAGCAGGUCAAGGGUUAUGGGACCCACCUGAUGAACCACCUGAAGGAGUAUCACAUCAAGCACAACAUUCUCUACUUCCUCACCUACGCCGACGAGUACGCCAUCGGCUACUUCAAAAAGCAGGUGACCCGUAGCCUCGUCCCACACCGGUCC